GACAGAGGGUGCAAACGUUGUUCGGAAUUACUGGGCGUAAAGCGCGUGUAGGCGGUUAGGCAAGUCGGAUGGGAAAUCCCGUGGCUCAACUACGGAAGUGCACCCGAAACUGCUUGACUUGAGUCCCGGAGAGGAAGGCGGAAUGCUUGGUGUAGAGGUGAAAUUCGUAGAUAUCAAGCGGAACACCGGUGGCGAAGGCGGCCUUCUGGACGAGGACUGACGCUGAGACGCGAAAGCGUGGGGAGCAAACAGC
rnacentral:rRNA from 1 species